rnacentral:ncRNA from 2 species
UUCUUAUCUAGAGAGGCUGAGGGACUGGCCCUAUGACGCCCAGCAACCUGAAUAACAUUUUUGUUCAAAGGUGCUAAUUCCAGCAGGUUAAAUCCUGAAAGAUGAGAA